rnacentral:rRNA from 1 species
AGGCUACGAUGGGUAGGGGUUCUUAGUGGAAGAUCCCCCACACUGGCACUGAGAUACGGGCCAGACUCCUACGGGAGGCAGCAGUAGGGAAUAUUGGUCAAUGGGCGAAAGCCUGAACCAGCCAUGCCGCGUGCAGGAUGACAGCUCUCUGAGUUGUAAACUGCUUUUGUACAGGAGCAAAACAAUCCCUGCGGGGGUUCUUGAGAGUACUGUAAGAAUAAGCACCGGCUAAUUCCGUGCCAGCAGCCGCGGUAAUACGGAAGGUGCAAGCGUUAUCCGGUUUUAUUGGGUUUAAAGGGUGCGUAGGCGGCUUAUUAAGUCAGUUGUGAAAUCCUAGUGCUUAACGCUAGAACUGCAAUUGAUACUAUUAGGCUUGAGUUAAGAA